UUACAGGCGUGAGCCACCGCGCCCGGCCUGUUUGCUCUUCUUAUCUCAUUAAAGCCAGCCUGGCUUUCGUCUCACUGUCUCUUAGCUUCUGAAAGGUCUAAUUCACUGGCACUGAAGAGUGAGGGCAGGACCCGUUAAACUGGUACAAACGACACUUCUGAUCCUGUCCUUUCUGGGCUCAUUUCUGCACCACACAGACACUUUUCUCUGUAGGCCAUGGAAGAGCUGGUGGAUGAAGGGCUGGUGAAAGCUAUUGGCAUCUCCAACUUCAACCAUCUCCAGGUGGAGACGAUCUUAAACAAACCUGGCUUGAAGUAUAAGCCUGCAGUUAACCAGAUUGAGUGCCACCCAUAUCUCACUCAGGAGAAGUUAAUCCAGUACUGCCAGUCCAAAGGCAUCGUGGUGACCGCCUACAGCCCCCUCGGCUCUCCUGACAGGCCCUGGGCCAAGCCCGAGGACCCUUCUCUCCUGGAGGAUCCCAGGAUCAAGGCGAUCGCAGCCAAGCACAAUAAAACUACAGCCCAGGUACAGCCACUUCAGGUGUUCCUG
rnacentral:sRNA from 1 species